rnacentral:rRNA from 1 species
UCCUACUAGAGUUCGAUUCUGUUCUUAAUUGAAUGGAGUAGCUAUCUUUCGGGGUGGUCAAUUGGUUGUUAUAUCUCCACUAAUAAGCGGAGAGGGGUAAAACCUUCAAAGUAAGUUAUGUGGGUCAAGGUAUGAUGAUUAAUUGGAGUUCUAGUUCAUUUACUUUGAGAAAAUUAGAGUGUUUAAAGCAGCCUCUUAGGGCACUGAAUACAUUAGCAUGGGAUAAUAAAAAUAGGAUCUUCACAAUAUAUUUUAUUGGUUUAAAUUGCGUAUGAAGAUAAUGAUUAAUAGGACAGUUGGGGUAGUUCAUAUUGGGUGGUUAGCGGUGAAAUGCUCGGAUCCAUUCAAGAUGAACUAAAGCGAAGGCAUUUACCAAGGAUGUUUUCUAUUAAUCAAGAACGAAAGUUAAGGAUCGAAGACGAUUAGAUACCGUCGUAGUCUUAACUAU